rnacentral:ribozyme from 2 species
GCUUGGACCAAGCCCAGGAAUAAGGUACCUCAGAACUGGAUGGGCCGUGUGCUUAACCAGGACAAGAUCUCCUUCUCUCCAACGUUGUUGCCAACUCAUGAUUCUCCUAACCUGUGCUUGGAGAGACGUGGACCCAGAGUCAGAGGACCUCUGACUUCCACUGCUAG